rnacentral:lncRNA from 1 species
CUCUCCUGCUCCCGUCACCGACUCACCGUGUGCCGCCUGACCUUCCUCCACUCCGCCGCCGGUCACUUCUUUUUCUGAAGUCUCAAACUCCGUGACUCUGUAAUUCAUCUGUGUUGCUGUGUCGUGCCGUGCGUCCCUGUUUGUUCAACCGUGAGGUGCCAGGCUCUGAUUGGUAAUUGGUAAAGGUGAAGCUCUGAUUUCCAUCCCAAUUCCCACGAUCCAUUUUGAAGCAUUUUUUUGUUGUUGUUUUGAUUUGUGUAAAUUGUAAUAAUAUUUGUUUUUUUUUUCUUUUUCUUUUUUGUUUUUGUUUUUAACGUAUGAAAUUAGUAGCUCUUCAAUUGCUCGAACUCGAAGCGGCACCGCCACUGCCUACACUGUGAGUUGCUUACUCUCUGAGUCUCUGUCACUGGAAUUUUGAAAUAGUAUAUAUUGCCUUGUGAAUGAAAUUGUGAAUUUGUGAAUGAUGAUAGUUUUGCCCUGUGAAAUGCGAAUGACGUUAUUGAGUGGGAGGUUGAUGGUCGAACAAUUGUUUGGUUAUUAUGACGAUACUAUGCUGGUAGCUUUUAAUUGGUUGAAAUGGUAAAAAGUGAGAAGCAUAGUCUACUUUUCUUCUUCAGCAAUGGACAUUAAAUGCUGUAAACUAGGAAGCUGGUGCUUGAUUCAAAGUAGAUUAAGUCAGAUGUAUUAAAUCAAACAUUUACUUUGCCUAUGAUUUCAAGGUCUUGGUAGCUCUUCAAGCGGCUUUGACAGUAACUGGUAAUGUAGCAACGUUCAAAUCUGCAUUGUGAAUCUGUGAAUUGAUGAUAGUGUUGCCCUGUGAAAUGCGAAUUGCUUAAAUUAUGUUGUUUUUAGUAUUGUCGCAAUAUUUUUUUAUUUUUUAUCUCAUUAAAUCCAUGACCAAAACCUUGACGUUUGGCGUUGAAAAAAGUUUGCUCGCACUGAACUAAUAUCUUGACUCCGCCCUUGAGUGAGAGGCUUUACUUCCAUCGUAAAUUUUCAAUUACACCUUGAAUAACAUGGUUGGAAGUACUUGUAUAAUUGUUUUACAUAGAAGUCAUCAUUAACAAUGCCUGUUUUCCAGGUCGAGCACGGAAUUAACCAUACUCAACGUUUAUGGAAGGUUGCCCGUUACUUUUCGAAGUAGAUAUAUUUUAGGCAUUUUGAUUGUCGUUGAUGUCCAGGAAAGACUGAAGUCUCCAGUAAACAAGAAAUGUGGCAAUGCAGAUUAAUUUCAAUAAGAAUCAGGGUUAUUAUACAAUUUCAUGUUGAUUAGUCUAGCUUCCAUUCGAAUUUUCCUUGGUUUUUGAUCAAUAACGAGAAUUGGAGAAUUAAAAUGAAUUAAUCGAUCGAGUCAGAUUCCAAAUGCAUGUCUAGAUUAGAUGUUGGAAUAUAAUGGUGUUAAUGAAACUGGAUUAUCACAUACCGUAUAUGUAGUUUAGACACCGAUUUUGAAUAUAUCAUGUAU